UUAGUGCAAUGGCAUAAGCCAGCUUGACUGCGAGCGUGACGGCGCGAGCAGGUGCGAAAGCAGGUCAUAGUGAUCCGGUGGUUCUGAAUGGAAGGGCCAUCGCUCAACGGAUAAAAGGUACUCCGGGGAUAACAGGCUGAUACCGCCCAAGAGUUCAUAUCGACGGCGGUGUUUGGCACCUCGAUGUCGGCUCAUCACAUCCUGGGGCUGAAGUAGGUCCCAAGGGUAUGGCUGUUCGCCAUUUAAAGUGGUACGCGAGCUGGGUUUAGAACGUCGUGAGACAGUUCGGUCCCUAUCUGCCGUGGGCGCUGGAGAACUGAGGGGGGCUGCUCCUAGUACGAGAGGACCGGAGUGGACGCAUCACUGGUGUUCGGGUUGUCAUGCCAAUGGCACUGCCCGGUAGCUAAAUGCGGAAGAGAUAAGUGCUGAAAGCAUCUAAGCACGAAACUUGCCCCGAGAUGAGUUCUCCCUGAGACUUAGAGUCUCCUGAAGGAACGUUGAAGACGACGACGUUGAUAGGCCGGGUGUGUAAGCGCAGCGAUGCGUUGAGCUAACCGGUACUAAUGAACCGUGAGGCUUAACCUUAC
rnacentral:rRNA from 1 species